UCCCAUAUUGUCUUGUGGUUAGGAUACCUGGCUCUCACCCAAGAGGCCCGGGUUCAAUUCCCGGUAUGGGAA
rfam:Daphnia pulex DAPPTscaffold_309_Cont8543, whole genome shotgun sequence.